rnacentral:lncRNA from 1 species
GUCAUAUUCUCAUGUUAUACAUCCCAUUCCUAAUGGAAGUAUGUUCAUGGAUGUGACUGAACAAAUAGCACCACCAGAGCGGAGAAUAACUCUUGGACGACCUAAAACUAAGAGGAUAGAAAGUACAGGAGUAGGGCGAAGAAUGAAGAAAUGUGGCAAUUGCAAUCAGUAUGGAUAUCACACUAGAAGAAAUUGUCCCUAUACUUGAGUCCGCAAAUAGUUUUUAUGUUGUCAUUGUUUGAUGAAUUAGUUAUAAAUUAUAAUUGACAGUUGCAGGUCGUAUGUGUACUUGGCUGAUGUAAAGUUUAAGAUCUGUACUCUGUAAUUGUGCUUAGCUCGAGUUUUUUUUAUUAAUGAAGUACUUCUAUUUUUUAUA